UUUAUCUGUGAUGACAACUGUUGCCGUAUGAGUCGUGGAUCAUGACUACAGGUCUGAGAGUCUGCGCUCCAC
rnacentral:snoRNA from 1 species